UACGUAGGAUGCGAGCGUUAUCCGGAUUUAUUGGGUUUAAAGGGUGCGUAGGCGGACGCUUAAGUCAGCGGUAAAAUUGCGGGGCUCAACCUCGUCGAGCCGUUGAAACUGGGUGUCUUGAGUGGGCGAGAAGUACGCGGAAUGCGUGGUGUAGCGGUGAAAUGCAUAGAUAUCACGCAGAACUCCGAUCGCGAAGGCAGCGUACCGGCGCCCAACUGACGCUGAAGCACGAAGGCGUGGGUAUCGAACAGG
rnacentral:rRNA from 1 species